CCAAUCCCUCCCAGCAUCAGAGUCUUUUCCAGUGAGUCAACUCUUCACAUGAGGUGGCCAAAGUACUGGAGUUUCAGCUUUAGCAUCAUUCCUUCCAAAGAAAUCCCAGGGCUGAUCUCCUUCAGAGAGAGGAGGAGCAACCCCAUGCCCAAGACCAGGGGCGGCAACUGGGAGGACCAACCCCACAUCCAAGGAGCGGUGGCUGCGCGGGCACAGGAGGGCCUAGAGGAGCUAUCCCACAUUGAAGGUCAGGAAGGGUGGCGGUGAGGAGAUACCCCUCGUCCAAGGUAAGGAGCAAUGGCUGCACUUUGCUGGAGCAGCCAUGAAGAGAUAACCCACGCCCAAGGUAAGAGAAACCCAAGUAAGAUGGUAGGUGUUGCAAGAGGGCAUCAGAGGGCAGACACACUGAAACCAUACUCACAGAAAACUAGUCAAUCUAAUCACACUAGGACCACAGCCUUGUCUAACUCAGUGAAACCAAGCCAUGCCUGUGGGGCAACCCAAGACAGGGGGGUCAUGGUGGAGAGAUCUGACAGAAUGUGGUCCACUGGAGAAGGGAAUGGCAAACCACUUCAGUAUUCUUGCCUUGAGAACCCCAUGAACAGUAUGAAAAGGCAAAAUGAUAGGAUACUGAAAGAGGAACUCCGCAGGUCAGUAGGGGCCCAAUAUGCUACUGGAGAUCAGUGGAGAAAUAACUCCAGAAAGAAUGAAGGGAUGGAGCCAAAGCAAAAACAAUAGCCAGCUGUGGAUGUGACUGGUGAUAGAAGCAAGGUCCAAUGCUGUAAAGAGCAAUAUUGCAUAGGAACCUGGAAUGUCAGGUCCAUGAAUCAAGGCAAAUUGGUAGUGGUCAAACAAGAGAUGGCAAGAGUGAAUGUCAACAUUCUAGGAAUCAGUGAACUAAAAUGGACUGGAAUGAGUGAAUUUAACUCAGAUGACCAUUAUACCUACUACUGCGGGAGGAAUCCCUCAGAAGAAAUGGAGUAGCCAUCAUGGUCAACAAAAGAGUCUGAAAUGCAGUACUUGGAUGCAAUCUCAAAAACAACAGAAUUAUCUCUGUUCGUUUCCAAGGCAAACCAUUCAAUAUCACAUUAAUCCAAGUCUGUGCCCCAACCAGUAAUGCUAAAGAAGCUGAAGUUGAAUGGUUCUAUGAAGACCUACAAGACCUUUUAGAACUAACACCCAAAAAAGAUGUCCUUUUCAUUAUAGGGGACUGGAAUGCAAAACUAGGAAGUCAAGAAACACCUGGAGUAACAGGAAAAUUUGGCCUUGCAAUAUGGAAUGAAGCAGGGCAAAGACUAAUAGAGUUUUGCCAAGAAAAUGCACUGGUCAUAACAAACACCCUCUUCCAACAACACAAGAGAAGACUCUAUACAUGGACAUCACCAGCUGGUCAACACCGAAAUCAGCCUGAUUAUAUUCUUUGCAGCCAAAGAUGGAGAAGCUCUAUACAGUCCACAAAAACAAGACCAGAAGCUGACUGUGGCUCAGAUCAUGAACUCCUUAUUACCAAAUUCAGACUUAAAUUGAAGAAAAUAGAGAAAACCACUAGACCAUUCAGGUAUGACCUAAAUCAAAUCCCUUAUGAUUAUACAGUGGAAGUGAGAAAUAGAUUUAAGGGCCUAGAUCUGAUAGAUAGAGUGCCUGAUGAACUAUGGAAUGAGGUUCGUGACAUUGUACAGGAGACAGGGAUCAAGACCAUCCCCAUAGAAAAGAAAUGCAAAAAAGCAAAAUGGCUGUCUGGGGAGGCCUUACAAAUAGCUGUGAAAAGAAGAGAAGCAAAAAGCAAAGGAGAAAAGGAAAGAUAUAAGCAUCUGAAUGCAGAGUUCCAAAGAAUAGCUAGGAG
ensembl:lncRNA